AGACGUUACUGCCCUCUUGCGUGCCCCGGCCACCCCCGGGCGGCUUGUAGCCGGUGCGCGGGGUGGCUGGGGCUACGUGCAGAGCUGUCGCGGAGCCGGAACAGCAGCGGUGAAGCCCCUCGGCUCGGCCGAGACCGCCGUGCCCAUUGCUCGCCUCGGUUGCCGCCGCUUUAGCCGCAGCCGCUGCUGCCGCCGCCGGGGGAGAGGCAGCCUAUUGUCUUUCUCCGCGGCGAAGGUGAGGAGCUGUCUCGGCUCGGCCCGCGGGGGAGCCCCGGGAGCCGCACGGAGAUGGAGGAGGACAUCUGGACAGUGAGCAGGAGGCGCCUCGGCCCAUGCCGAACAUCCCAGGGGACCUGGAGACCCGGGAGGCCAUGGUGGCAUUUUUCAACUCCGCUGGAGCCAGUGCCCAGGAGGAACAAAGUCCCAGAAGAAGCCAGAGGUAGCGGCCCCAGCCCCAGAGAGUGGGGGUGAGUCUGUGUUUGGGGAGACCCACCGGGCCCUGCAGGGGGCCAUGGAGAAGCUGCAGGAAAGUACAUCAGCCAGGGGGCAGUGUCAGAGACGCAGCACUGGGAGAGGAGGACAUCGUCAGGCUGGCCCAGGACCAGGAGGAGAUGAAGGUAGGGUGUGCAACAUCUCGGUGGGGGUGGGGGUGGAGGUGGGGGUGAACGUGCGUGCCGGCACCGGCAUGGCAGCUAACACCCCUUCCUCCAGGUGAACCUGCAGGAGCUGCGGGGCAGGUGUUGCAGCUUGUGGGCGACCACAAGGAGGGGCAUGGCAAAUUUUGACCAUUGCCCAGAACCCUGCUGAUGAGCCCACUCUAGGAGCCCCAGUAGCCCAGGAGCUUGGGUGUGCUGACGAGCAGGGUGGCUUUUAUCCUAGAUCACCACUGGAUUGCUGACAGAUAGAGGAGGUGGGACCCUGACUAUCACCCCUAAUCUGCAGUGGAUUUGGCUCUCGGCACUCCCAGGCUGGGAGCUGGAUACCUGCCCUGGCAGCAUGGCUCAGACUGCAUGACAGUCACAGACUCGCCUCUGCUCCUGUGGUCCAGUGGCCGGACACCCCCUGGGAUGGCUCAAAGGAGUCAGGACUUGGAAGUGGGGACAUCAGGGUAGCUGAAGGAAAUCCACACACCCAGAGCAUCUCGGAGUUCAGACUCUCAGACCUGAAGUAGGCGCCCCCGGGACUGGGCUAGGAGUUGGACGGAAUGGAGGAUGGAGGACAGCGAGAAGAAAGGAAGAGAAAUGCAAAGUGUGGGCAGCCGCCAAGAGUGAAAAUAGAGGGAAGUGUCAUGCAAGUGCUGGACAGAAGGCGGCAGGUGGGACGAGCCCCACAGCCCCCUCCUCAAAAACGACCACCUCCAGGACUCAGUGAUCCCUGGGGGGCAGGCUCUGCCAGCCCUCGGCCACACGUGGCUCCGGCACCCAUGGUCCCAGUGCCUUGGAUGGAGACGGCCAGUUCUGGCGGCCAGAUGUGGUGCUCUGGAAUCCAGUCCCAUUUCCUUCCUGGCCACGCCUGUCCAGCGGCCUCUUUGGCUGCAUUCAGCCCCUACUUACCUGGGGACCCCGGCUGGGGCACAAGAGCACCAGGGGGGUAGGGCCCAAAGGGAUCAGGGGAAGCCUCUGGCCUGGAGGGUAUGGGGCACACUUCCCCAAGGGCGGACCCAGCAGGAGGAAGCCCAGGAGCUGGGUCCUGCCGCCCAGGAGCUGGGCCCUGCCACCCAGGCCGGGCUAGGGACAUGGCAGGGCCUGGGCAUCCUGGCGCUGGACUUGGGCGACCUGGGAGGCACAGGGAGGGGAGAGAUGGGCGGCCCCGCCCCAGCGCAGUGCCGGCCACACCCAUGCACUGAAGCUCCUCCCUGCCACACCCCAAGGCGGUUGCCGGAGCUUAAGCCCCGCCCCCAGCAGCGAGAACAUCCCACCCCUCCCCCCCCCCCCCCCCCGCAGCCAGUGCUCCUUGUCAAGCUCCCCCCGUCACUCCAGGUGGGAGCCACCCCGGUGAGGGGGUGUGCCACUUGUCCCCAGGGCACUCCUCUGGGCAUCCCGGGUGGGGGAUUUUGGGGCCGUGGGGGGCAGUCUCUGGUACCUGUGUGCGUCAGGGAUGCUCUGCACCUGCAACCAGGUGUCGUCCACGGGCGGGGGCAUGGUAACAGUGGUCCUGUUGAUGUCACCGAUGAUGCUGAGCGCCUCCUUCAGCGCGUGGUGCAUGUGCAGCAUCUCGUCGUGCUGCUGUGCCUGCUCUGCCAACUCCUCCAUCAGUGUGUUCUGGUUCCCACAUGAGUACAUAUUGGCCAGCGGCUCCGAGAUGAUGAACUCCGGGGUCUGAGAGUGGGCAAACAGGGAAGAAGGUUGGGACCUGGUGCCUGUGCCGCCCUGGCUGCCUUGCUGGGCCCUUCUGGGACUGUGCGCUGGACUUGGAGCCCCUUGGAGUAUGGCUUUUCACACGGGCUUCUAUACCGCUUCGACUGGAAGAUCCACCUCCCCACUGCCUUUUCUCACUCAGAUGGGGACACCGAGGUCCAGAGGAAAAGACACCUGUCAAAUGUCACAGAUCUGGGAGGGGACUUAAGACCUAUCAUGCCAAGAGG